AACGAACGCUGGCGGCAGGCUUAACACACGCGAGUCGAGCGCCCCGCAAGGGGAGCGGCAGACGGGUGAGUAACGCGUGGGAACGUACCCUUUGCUACGGAAUAGCUCCGGGAAACUGGAAUUAAUACCGUAUGUGCCCUACGGGGGAAAGAUUUAUCGGCAAAGGAUCGGCCCGCGUUGGAUUAGCUAGUUGGUGGGGUAAUGGCCUACCAAGGCGACGAUCCAUAGCUGGUCUGAGAGGAUGAUCAGCCACAUUGGGACUAAGACACGGCCCAAACUCCUACGGGAGGCAGCAGUGGGGAAUAUUGGACAAUGGGCGCAAGCCUGAUCCAGCCAUGCCGCGUGAGUGAUGAAGGCCUUAGGGUUGUAAAGCUCUUUCACCGGAGAAGAUAAUGACGGUAUCCGGAGAAGAAGCCCCGGCUAACUUCGUGCCAGCCGCCGCGGUAAAAC
rnacentral:rRNA from 1 species